CGCCUGUUUAUCAAAAACAUCUCUUCUCGUUAGUUUUUGAAGUAUGGCCUGCCCACUGACCUUGAAUGUUGAAGGGCCGCGGUAUUUUGACCGUGCAAAGGUAGCAUAGUCAUUAGUUCUUUAAUUGUGAUCUGGUAUGAAUGGCUUGACGAGGCAUAAGCUGUCUUAAUUUUGAAUUGUUUAUUGAAUUUGGUCUUUGAGUUAAAAUUCUUAGAUGUUUUUAUGGGACGAGAAGACCCUAUAGAGUUUGACAUUUAUUCACGGUCUCUUUCUGUUUGUGAGGGUUCACUAGGGCUGUUUAAUAUGUUUUGUUGGGGUGAUGGGAGGGAUAUUAUUUAACCCCUCCUUUGUGUUGUUAUAUUUAUUUAUAUUUGCUUGAUCCAUUUAUUUUGAUUGUAAGAUUAAAUUACCUUAGGGAUAACAGCGUAA
rnacentral:rRNA from 1 species